AUACUUACCUGGCAAGGGAGCUACCAUGAUCACAAAGGUGGUUUUCCCAGGGCGAGGCUCACCCACUGCACUCUGAGUGUGCUGACCCCCUCCAUUUCCCCAAAUGUGGAAAACUUGACUGCGUAAUUUGUGGUAGUGGGGGACUGUGUUCGCACUCCCCCCUU